GUGCUAGUUUCUGCAGCACAUAUACUAAAAUUGAAACGAUACAGAGAAGAUUAGCAUGGCCCCUGCACAAGGAAGACAUGCAAAUUCAUGAAGCAUUCCAUAUUAAA
ensembl:snRNA U6 U6 spliceosomal RNA